ACAAUAUUCCAACAUGGCUGCGCCCAUGAUAAAAUCGUGAGCUUUUGUAAAUAGUGUGAUUUAACGUCAUAAACAGAACUACACUCUGAAACAAAGAUGCCAACAGACUCAAGGCGAAUUAAUGGUCCAGAGGAUUCAUUUGAUCCAUCAGUUUUACUUGUAGAUAAAAAGACGAGAGAGAAAAUUCUUCGAGAUGGAAAAAGAAAAGACGGAAGAAAACCAGAACAAGUCAGACCUAUAUUUCUAAAGGCUGGGAUCAUAAGUCAGGCCCGAGGAUCAGCCUACAUUGAACAGAAUGAGACAAAAGUUAUGUGCGCUGUAUAUGGACCAAGAGAAGUAACAAAGAAGGAGGAAUUCAGCAUGAAGGGUCAGCUGACCUGUGAGUUUAAGUUCGCGACCUUCUCAUGUCGAGUUCGUCGCCAGUAUCAACAGGACAAUGAGGAGAGAGAUUACAGCUGUCAGUUACAGGAUGCCCUGGAACCCGCUGUCCGUAUGGUAAGUCUCAGAUAAAUUCCCCAAAGCUCAAGUGAAUGUAUAUGUGACUGUGUUACAAAAUGACGGCUCUCGUAAGUAUAAGUUUGUGUUGUUGAUGGAAAAAAAAUUAUUAAAAAAGUGAACACAUGACUCUUGCAUAUAAACAUUCUUGAUGCCAACUUAUUUUAUCCCUUUACUGGACUGUUUUGUAGCAAACAUACAUGUCAGAUGUUUUUGACAUAUGGCUUGCCUUGAUAUCAGCAUAAGGAAUUAAUCGUGUCUUUUCAUUAUUUUUAGCUUUAGCAGCCUCUUUGACCUGUGCCUCAGUGGCUCUGGCUAAUGCAGGGAUAGAGAUGUACGACCUGGUGGUGGGAUGCUCAGCUAGAAUUACUCCCUCUGAAGUGUUCAUAGACCCCACAGAAUCAGAAGAUUACAAAGCAGAGAAUGACAAUGAGGCGGGGAAUGGCAGCGUGACCCUGGGGCUGAUGCCGUCCCUCAAUCAGGUGUCGGCCAUCACCUCCAAGGGCGAAGUGGAAUUUGAAUUACUGAAUAAGGGCACCAAACAAUGUGUUGAUGUUUGUCAGAAACUGUACCCAGUUCUCCAGCAGGCAGUGGCUAAAGCAGUGGAGGAUAGGUUGUCAAGUGAUCAUGUGACGUGACCCAUAAUUCCAUAUUCAUUAUAUUCAACUUUAUGAUCAUUCAUAUACAGUCUUUGUUCAGUGAUAUCCAUUAUUCAAAGAACUUUGAUAGGAUCUGAUGCAGUUGUAUACCCUGGUAUAUACUGUUAAUCAAUACAGAACAGUCUUUAUAUCUGGUUAAUGCAAUUUGUGACAUUUGACAUUGCUGUAUUGAAAUUUAUGUAGUGUCAUUUUGUGAUUGAAAUAAACAUGUUAAUG
rnacentral:misc_RNA from 1 species